rnacentral:rRNA from 1 species
GACGAACGCUGGCGGCGUGCCUAAUACAUGCAAGUAGGACGCAGUUGCGAACGGGUGAGUAACGCGUAGGUAACUACCUAUUAGAGGGGGAUAACUAUUGGAAACGAUAGCUAAUACCGCAUACUAGUAGAUUGACCUGCGUUGUAUUAGCUAGUAGGUAGGGUAAUGGCCUACCUAGGCAACGAUACAUAGCCGAGCUGGGGGGGUGACCGGCCAACCGGGGACUGGGACACCGCCCAGGAUCCUACGGGAGGGAGCAGUAGGGAAUCUUCGGCAAUGGGGGGAACGCUGACCGAGCAACGGCGCGGGAGUGAAGAAGGUUUUCGGAUCGUAAAGCUAUGUUGUUAAGGAAGCGGUACUUAACCAGAAAGGGACGGCUAACUACGUGCCAGCAGCCGCGGUAAUAC